AUUGAACGCUGGCGGAAUGCUUUACACAUGCAAGUCGAGCGGCAGCGCGGGGGCAACCCUGGCGGCGAGCGGCGAACGGGUGAGUAAUGUAUCGGAACGUACCCUGUCGUGGGGGAUAACACAGCGAAAGCUGUGCUAAUACCGCAUACGACCUGAGGGUGAAAGCGGGGGACCGUAAGGCCUCGCGCGAUAGGAGCGGCCGAUAUCGGAUUAGCUUGUUGGUGAGGUAAAGGCUCACCAAGGCGACGAUCCGUAGCUGGUCUGAGAGGACGACCAGCCACACUGGAACUGAGACACGGUCCAGACUCCUACGGGAGGCAGCAGUGGGGAAUUUUGGACAAUGGGGGGCAACCCUGAUCCAGCCAUUCCGCGUGAGUGAAGAA
rnacentral:rRNA from 1 species